rnacentral:tRNA from 1 species
CCCGGGGUAGCUCAACGGUUAGAGCGGCGGUUUCAUAAGCCGUAGGUUGCCGGUUCGAAUCCGGCCUCCGGGACCA